UGAUUGGCUGUCUUGGAAGAUAUUGAUAAUUACCACACUUGAGAAAAAAACACAAUACAAGCAAUUAUUUGAUCUGAAAUUACACUUAUGGGAUUAUCCUACUCAUGCAAUAUCAUUAUGGAUUUGUGAAACCAUCUAAACAGAUUUUUAAAAGCAGAGACCCCUAAUAUAUUUGGGAUCCUUUGACCCUAGCUGAAU